AGGUUUGGGAAGGGGAAGCUGCGGCCCUCAGGAUGCGAAGGCCUCACGUCACCCCCACCCCACCCCCGGGGCCCCCAGUGACCAGCCCAGAGAGAGGGCUAGCUGGCCCUUCCCCGGCCAGCAGUGGACGCUGGGCUGAGGGGCUGAGAUGAGAGGCCGUGAGGUGGCUGCUGUGGAUGUGAAGCCCCCUGGACCAGAGCCCAUUCUGUGAAAUGCACGCUGACACCACGAUGCCCUCCUGUGCUCCCAUCCCCGCCUCCCCUGGGCUGAGCUGGAGCCCCGAGGGAGGAACCCAGACCAGCACCACCGCAGGAGCUGAGGAUGGCUCCGUCCAGCCUGCUUCUGAGCCCUGCCUGCAGCACCCUGCCUCCGACCGCUGACCUUGGGAUGAACAGGGUCCACCCACAGUGAGCUUAAAAUUAAGGGCAAAGUUGUACCUGCUUAUCUCAGCUCAUUUGUCAACAGUGCUGGAAUGCUUGGCCAAUCACUGGAGGGAGAAAGAGACCCUACUGCACGCCUUAUGCCAGCAUAAGUUUCAGUGAGACUACAGGCUUGAAAUGCAAAGAAAAAAAAAAACCCAAAACAUAUUAAAAUGAAAAUGUAGAUGGUUAUAUACUAUGGAGAUGGUCCAGGAUUUCUAGGUACAGUACCAAAGGUAAAAUAAUCAGCUUUUGAGUAUAUAAAGGCAAGAACCAGUCAAUAUGGUGACAUACCCCAGAAGGUGACCGUCAAAAACAUCAUAAUAGUGAAAGGAAAACUACAAACUGAGAAGAAAGAGGUGGAAAAUGCAUGCAUUAACAAGGGUUAUUUACAAGGUUCUACCAUUAGUUGAAAACGGGCACAAGUAGCAAUUCAUAAAAAAAGAACUAUAUGUGACCAAUAAGAACGUAUUUAAACAUGUUGUGCUUCACUAGAGGUGUUGGAGAAGGCUCUUGAGAGUCCCUUGGACUUCAAGGAGAUCCAGCCAGUCAAUCCUAAAGGAAAUCAAUCCUGAAUAUUCAUUGGAAGGAUUGAUGCU